GUAGCUUCCAAUUCCUUGCCCGAGCCACCACCGCUUUCCUUUCUUCCAUCCUUCCUUCCGCCCCUCCUGUCCCUCUCCGCCUUGCUCUCCGACAAAACCCUAUCCCUUUGAUCGCGAUUCAUGAUUGGCGAUCUGACGGCGGAGUAGAUCGGAGGGAGGCAGAGCGUGGAGGUCGGGCAAUGAAGCAAACGGCGCCGCAGCAGCCGAACCGCCAGGCAUACACCGCCUUCCGCUCCUCCCCCGGCGUUCUCUUCUGGUCCGCCGUCCAUGUCCUCUGUUGCCUCCUCUCCGCCGCCGCUGGGUUCCGCUUCUCUCGCCUCCUCUUCCUCCUCCUCUUCUCCCCUUCCCCUCCCUCCUCCUCGUCCCUCCACCAUCGUCACCUCCUCCGCCAACCCCCGCCCGCCGUCCUUCCGUCCCCGUCCCCGCCGCCGCCCCACAUCCAUCUCCCUCCUCCUCCUCCCGCCGCCGCCUCGAACCGCGUCGUGGUCGGCCGCCACGGCAUCCGGGUGCGGCCCUGGCCCCACCCGAACGCCGCUGACGUUGCACGGGCCCACGAGAUCCUCGCCCGAGUGCAGCAGGAGCAGCGCCGCCGCUACGGCGUCAAGGACCCCCGCCCCGUCCUCGUCGUCACCCCGACCUACGCCCGCACCUUCCAGGCCCUCCACCUCACCGGCCUCCUGCACUCGCUCAUGCUCGUCCCGCACCCACUCACCUGGCUCGUCGUCGAGGCCGGCGGCGUCUCCAACGAGACCGCCGCGCUCCUAGCCCGCUCCCGCCUCCCCGUCGUCCACCUCCCCUUCCACGAGCAGAUGCCCAUCCGCUGGCACGACCGACACCGCCUCGAGGCUCGGAUGCGCCUCCACGCCCUCAGAGUCAUUAGGGAGAAGCAAUUGGACGGUAUCAUCGUGUUCGCAGACGAAAGCAACGUCCACAGACUGGAGCUCUUCGACGAGGUUCAGAAGGUGGAGUGGAUGGGCGCGCUGUCGGUGGGAAUUCUAACACAUUCGCAGAGAGAAGGUGAGAAGGGGCAGUCACCAUUGCCUAUCCAAGGACCAGCGUGCAACGCCUCUGGCCACUUGAUCGGCUGGCACACCUUCAAUAACCUUCCUUAUGCUAAGAAAGCCGCCGCCUUUGUGGGUGAUGGGGCGACGGUGUUGCCGAUGAAGCUCGAGUGGGCCGGGUUUGUGAUGAACUCGAGACUGCUGUGGAGGGAGGCUGAGGAGAAGCCGGGUUGGGUUCGGGAUCUUGACGAGGUGGGAAUCAACGGGGAGGAGAUCGAGAGCCCGCUGGAUUUGCUGAAGGAUGCAUCGUCGGUGGAGCCACUCGGAAACUGCGGCAAGAAGGUUCUGCUGUGGUGGCUUCGGGCCGAAGCGCGCUUUGACAGCAGGUUUCCCGCUCGGUGGGUGAUAGAUCCUCCUCUGGAAAUCAUUGUCCCUGCAAAGCGGACUCCAUGGCCUGAGGCACCUCCUGACCUCCCAUUUCAAGUGAUAGCAGAUGAUGAAGAUCAUGUCGAAGUACAUCCUUCAAAGAAAACCAGAUCUUCCAGGUCUAAACGCAUCUCUCGCAAGAAAAAGAAGCGUGAAACACAUGUUGAUGCACAAGUUUCCGACUUGUUCAACAGGCAAGAGAAGUAAAGAUGGUAUCUAGAUUCAUCGAGCAGAGAGAGACUGUAAUUAUCAUGGAAGUAGCUUCACCAAACAAAGCUGCAAACUGGCGUUCAGCAUUCAAGAUCUCAGUGUACCAGCGGCAGCAACAAAUUUGAUUUGUGGACCUCUACAUUUCUUCAUUUCGAUAGAUAAAUUGGAUUCUUUUGCUAGAAAGAGUAUACAAAGUUUGACUUUUGGUGGGUUGAAGGGCCAUGAGACUAACAAUUGCUGAAAGUGGUGGCUCAAGAAGCUGAUGUUCUUGGUGAAGGCUAACAAUAAAGAACUUUGUUAGUGUUCGAUUUAGCCCAAUUCAUGUCGGUUUCUGACUAGGGGAGUAUUCAAAAGAUCAGUUUCUCAGGAAAAGAUUUAAAUCCGUGGUUUUCUUAAAGAAUGUAUGGUGAGCUUAAGAACAAGAACAGAGUGGGAGAAGAGAGGGGCGGAGCGGAGCGGACCUGCUUACGGGAGGAGAUGAUGAUGACGACAGCGCCUUGGAGGCCUAAUCGAUGGGAGACGCCGAAGUCGAUGCCGUGGCGGAGGCCGUCACGAUCGCCACCGUGCUCUCUAAUCUCCGCUUCCCUCCCAUCUCGCUCCAGGAGUUCUGUUACUGAAGUAGACACUAUAUAUGUAUGCGUCCAAAUUUUUUCCCAA